rnacentral:rRNA from 1 species
UACGGGGGAUGCAAGCGUUAUCCGGAAUUAUUGGGCGUAAAGCGUCUGUAGGUGGUUUGAUAAGUCUGUUGUUAAAGACUGGGGCUUAACCCCAGGAAAGCAAUGGAAACUGUCUAGCUAGAGUGUGGUAGAGGUAGAGGGAAUUCCUAGUGUAGCGGUGAAAUGCGUAGAUAUUAGGAAGAACACCGGUGGCGAAAGCGCUCUGCUGGGCCAUAACUGACACUCAGAGACGAAAGCUAGGGUAGCAAAUGGGAUUAGAUACCCCAGUAGUCCUAGCCGUAAACGAUGGAUACUAGAUGUUGCGUAACUCUUACAGUGUUUUAGCUAACGCGUUAAGUAUCCCGCCUGGGGAGUACACUCGCAAGGGUG